AUUUCUUUCUUUUGUAGAAAAUCAAAGAAAACCAAAGGAACAUUCAGGCCAAACAAAUAUAUCACCAUUGGAUAGCGAGAAAGAGACACGCAAAUGUGAAGUAUGAGCUUGAAUCAGAGAGCUUUGACACCAAAGUUUUCAAAUAGGAUGUCUGGAAACAAAGACAUCUGCGAAAGGAUGGAUCAUUUACAGAUGAAGCACCUAAAGAAUUGGCUAAAAAAACUCUUCCUAUAUAAAGAGGUCAAGACGAGACAAACGACCCACAGAUUUAGAUUCGCUAACUCCAACUUCAUUAGUGAGUAAAGUGGCAUAGUCAUUUUUCAUGCUAAUAAUGUGAUUGAAUGCAUGAAAAAAACCAGUUGAUUAUUAUUUGCUCCCGUAUAAUACGCAGUAAGUUGUAUUCAUACAUAUAAUUAUUCUAACCUUACUCAAAUUUGAUAUGAUGCCUAAUUUGAGUAUAUCAUUCUUAUUAUUUUGCAAUCGUCAUUGGUAGCUUAUUAUGAUUGAUACCAAAUCCUUAACGCCAUACUUAAUUUAACUCAACCAACGGUGAUGCCUAACCCCAACAUUCAAACUUUUAUAAAGAG